CCUACGGGUGGCAGCAGUAGGGAAUAUUGCUCAAUGGGGGAAACCCUGAAGCAGCAACGCCGCGUGGAGGAUGAAGGCUUUCGGAUUGUAAACUUCUUUUGUGAGAGAAGAUAAUGACGGGAUAUAACGGAUAAGCACCGGCUAACUCCGUGCCAGCAGCCGCGGUAAUACGGAGGGUGCAAGCGUUACUCGGAAUCACUGGGCGUGAAGAGCGCGUAGGCGGGAUAGCAAGUCAGAUGUGAAAUCCUAUGGCUCAACCAUAGAACUGCAUUUGAAACUGUUAUUCUAGAGUAUGGGAGAGGUAGGUGGAAUUCUUGGUGUAGCGGUAAAAUGCGUAGAGAUCCAGAGGAAUACUCAUUGCGAAGGCGACCUGCUAGAACGUAACUGACGCUGAUGCGCGAAAGCGUGGGGAGCAAACAGGAUUAGAUACCCUAGUAGUC
rnacentral:rRNA from 1 species